rnacentral:misc_RNA from 1 species
GUGAAUCAUCAAAUCUUUGAACGCAAAUUGCACUCUCCUCGGAGAGUAUGCCUGUUCGAGGGUCAGCCUAUAAAAAAUCGACAUCGUUGCUGUUUCGCGGUGGCGUUCGUCGGAAAUUGGGUCAUCUUAAAUCUUUUGGUUUUAAGCGACUUAAAAUUUUCUUUUUGGUUCCAUGACCGUUCUUAGGAUUUAUUCUUUAAAACGUUUAGGUUACCG